CGGGAGAUUUUCGACGUCGUUUCGAAGGGCCGUUCGGGAGCGCGUGCGUCGUGGUUACCUCGUUGGGAGGCCGGGCGAGCGCGUGUUUCCAUUCUUUCGACUUCUCGCAGUAGUUGGAUUAGCUUUUCGAGGUGGGUUGAAAUUCACCGAAAUCAUCGGAAUACCUCCUAAGUUUUUAUAUUGUCAAUAUGUAUAAUUUGUUUAUUUUCUUGUUAGUACUCAAAUUUAUGGGUUAGAGUUAACAUAUGAAUUUGGAGUUAAGCUAGCAGUAUAAUUUUACAUGUUGGGCUUGGAAUUAACUUAGGAGAAAAUAUUUAGAUUCUACACUGUCCCUUUUUGAAAAUUACUAGAUUUAGUUUUAGGAGCUGUGGUUCUUUUGCAUCGUCGUUGUCAGUAUGUGAUGGAUACCUAGAUUAGUGUAGGAUAAGUUUACGCUCGUGCUGGGAUGCCGAGCUUAUUUUACAGUAGUGUAUAGACUGUUCCGGACUGUCGGGUGUCGUCGCAGUUGACGGUGGUUCCAAUAUGCUGUUUUUGCAUCAGAUUGUGCCAAUGGCACUUGAGUUUUGGUUGUAGGACUAGUUAGACCCAUUUGUUUGGAUUAUAGCCUGUGAGAACCUGAUUGAGCUCAGCAGAGAUACGCUUGCAUACUCGGUUGGGUAGCG
rnacentral:lncRNA from 1 species